UAGGGAAUCUUCCACAAUGGACGCAAGUCUGAUGGAGCAACGCCGCGUGAGUGAAGAAGGUUUUCGGAUCGUAAAGCUCUGUUGUUGGUGAAGAAGGAUAGAGGUAGUAACUGGCCUUUAUUUGACGGUAAUCAACCAGAAAGUCACGGCUAACUACGUGCCAGCAGCCGCGGUAAUACGUAGGUGGCAAGCGUUGUCCGGAUUUAUUGGGCGGAAAGCGAGCGCAGGCGGAAGAAUAAGUCUGAUGUGAAAGCCCUCGGCUUAACCGAGGAACUGCAUCGGAAACUGUUUUUCUUGAGUGCAGAAGAGGAGAGUGGAAUUCCAUGUGUAGCGGUGGAAUGCGUAGAUAUAUGGAAGAACACCAGUGGCGAAGGCGACUCUCUGGUCUGCAACUGACGCUGAGGCUCGAAAGCAUGGGUAGCGAACAGG
rnacentral:rRNA from 1 species